rnacentral:rRNA from 1 species
AGUGAACGCUGGCGGUAGGCCUAACACAUGCAAGUCGAACGGCAGCACAGGAGAGCUUGCUCUCUGGGUGGCGAGUGGCGGACGGGUGAGGAAUACAUCGGAAUCUACUUUUUCGUGGGGGACAACGUAGGGAAACUUACGCUAAUACCGCAUACGACCUACGGGUGAAAGCAGGGGAUCUUCGGACCUUGCGCGAUUGAAUGAGCCGAUGUCGGAUUAGCUAGUUGGCGGGGUAAAGGCCCACCAAGGCGACGAUCCGUAGCUGGUCUGAGAGGAUGAUCAGCCACACUGGAACGGAGACACGGUCCAGACUCCUACGGGAGGCAGCAGUGGGGAAUAUUGGACAAUGGGCGCAAGCCUGAUCCAGCCAUACCGCGUGGGUGAAGAAGGCCUUCGGGUUGUAAAGCCCUUUUGUUGGGAAAGAAAUCCAGCUGGUUAAUACCCGGUUGGGGUGACGGUACCCAAAGAAUAAGCACCGGCUAACUUCGUGCCAGCAGCCGCCGUAA